rnacentral:lncRNA from 1 species
GCUGCCCAAUGGGCGGGUAGGGGAGGAGUCGGCCUCGCUCUGGUUCAGGCAGCUGCUAUAUAACAGUCUCUGGAGGACGGUCCCUCCCUUUUUCCUGCGGAGAGUCGGAGAUGGUGGCGCAACUAGUGGGAACUAUGGAGAUAAACUUCAUGGUGAUAUCCUGGAAGUUGUGCAGAAUAAUUGAGCCCUUCAUGAAAACAUCAACAGUUCUAGAAGACUAUAUGAUAUACAGUUGUGGAUGUUCCUGAAUAUUUAAGACAGAAGUAUGUUUGUGAAUGGUCAAGUGGAGGAAUAAAUAUUAAGAUGGGGAUAAAUGGAUUGGCA